UUAAUUGAAACCAAAUAUGAGGUUUAUCACUGUUAAUGAUAAUAUUGGAAUUUUCCCAAUUAAA
rnacentral:tRNA from 1 species